rnacentral:rRNA from 1 species
AUUGAACGCUGGCGGCAGGCCUAACACAUGCAAGUCGAACGGUAACAGGAAGAAGCUUGCUUCUUUGCUGACGAGUGGCGGACGGGUGAGUAAUGUCUGGGAAACUGCCUGAUGGAGGGGGAUAACUACUGGAAACGGUAGCUAAUACCGCAUAACGUCGCAAGACCAAAGAGGGGGACCUUCGGGCCUCUUGCCAUCGGAUGUGCCCAGAUGGGAUUAGCUAGUAGGUGGGGUAACGGCUCACCUAGGCGACGAUCCCUAGCUGGUCUGAGAGGAUGACCAGCCACACUGGAACUGAGACACGGUCCAGACUCCUACGGGAGGCAGCAGUGGGGAAUAUUGCACAAUGGGCGCAAGCCUGAUGCAGCCAUGCCGCGUGUAUGAAGAAGGCCUUCGGGUUGUAAAGUACUUUCAGCGGGGAGGAAGGGAGUAAAGUUAAUACCUUUGCUCAUUACGUUACCCGCAGAAGAAGCACCGGCUAACUCCGUG